rnacentral:rRNA from 1 species
GUCUUUUUGAUAANUAANUUUAAAGUCUAGUCUGCCCAAUGNANNAUUANUUGAAUGGCCGCGGNNUAUUUUGACUGUGCAAAGGUAGCAUAAUAAUUAGUUUUUUAAUUGAAAGCUGGUAUGAAUGGCUGAACGAGAAAAUUACUGUCUCAAGUUNAAAUUUAUUAGAAUUUUAUUUUUAAGUUAAAAAGCUUAAAUUAAAUUAAAAGACGAGAAGACCCUAUAGAGUUUNAAUAAUUAUUUAGNAUUNNUUNUGNUUUUAGAAAUANANNNAUUUUAUUNUAAAUAAUUAUUUUAUUGGGGUGAUAUAUAAAUUUAGUAAACUUUANUNAAAUNUUAGUACAUAUUUUUAUGAUUAAGUGAUCCAUUAUUNUAUGAUUAUAAGAUUUAAUUACCUUAGGGAUAACAGCGUAAUCUUUUUAAAGAGUUCUAAUCGAAAAAAAGGAUUGCGACCUCGAUGUUGGAUUAAAAUUAAUAUUUGGUGUAGAAGCUNAANAUUAUUAGGUCUGUUCGACCUUUAAAAUUUUACAUGAUCUGAGUUUAAAUCGGUGUGAGCCAGGUUGGUUUCUAUCUUUAAUAUNAAUAAAUUAUUUUAGUACGAAAGGACCAAAUAAUUAUAAUAUUUAUNNUAUGANUNUUGAAUAUUAAUNNAUUAUUUUGGCAGAAUAGUGCAUUAAAUUUAGAAUUUNAAUUAUGUAAAANAUUUAUUUACAGAUAAUANUUGUUUUUNAAAAGAUUUAAUUUUAUCAUUAGUUAGUGGAUUAUUAUUAGUAAUUUGUGUUUUAGUAGGAGUAGCUUUUUUAACUUUGAUAGAACGUAAAGUUUU